GGCACCGGCACCGCUCUGCCGCUGCCCCGUUCGAAAGCCGCGCGUUCGAGUUCGAGAUAGAUACAAACCGAAACAAACUCAUUCCAGCAAUGGAAACACACGAGACUGAGAGUGUGUAGUGGCCAACAGAGCACAGAUGACAAUGAUAUGCCAUGAGCUGAAGGAAAAGAAUAUUCUUUUUUCAGAAGAAGUCACUCACUAACCCACAGCAUGCUGAAACACCAAGAGCACGUGGAUUUUGCACAGACCAUGAAACCAAGGAGGAUGUGGCAGCUGGGAACUUACUGGCACUCAGUGGAGUCAUCUUUCCAUUGUUCUUGAUGACUUACAUAUGCCACCUAUUGAUAAAUCCUAAGAGAGCAUUUCACAGGAGCACUGCACUGUCCACUGCAAUUUUGUAAGUGAUGCUCUACAAACUCUCUACAGCCAUCUACCCUGACUUCUCCAUGAAACUGAUGAUUUAUUUUUUUUAUUUUGAU